UACGUACCGGACGAACGUUAUUCGGAUUUACUGGGCUUAAAGAGUGCGUAGGCGGCUUUGUAGGUGGGGUGUGAAAGCCCACGGCUCAACCGUGGAAUUGCGCUCCAAACCACAAGGCUUGAGGGAGACAGAGGUGAGCGGAACUGAUGGUGGAGCGGUGAAAUGCGUUGAUAUCAUCAGGAACACCCGUGGCGAAGGCGGCUCACUGGGUCUCUUCUGACGCUGAGGCACGAAAGCUAGGGGAGCGAACGGG
rnacentral:rRNA from 1 species